rnacentral:rRNA from 1 species
UGGGGAAUAUUGCACAAUGGGCGCAAGCCUGAUGCAGCCAUGCCGCGUGUAUGAAGAAGGCCUUCGGGUUGUAAAGUACUUUCAGCGAGGAGGAAGGCGUUGUGGUUAAUAACCGCAACGAUUGACGUUACUCGCAGAAGAAGCACCGGCUAACUCCGUGCCAGCAGCCGCGGUAAUACGGAGGGUGCAAGCGUUAAUCGGAAUUACUGGGCGUAAAGCGCACGCAGGCGGUCUGUCAAGUCGGAUGUGAAAUCCCCGGGCUCAACCUGGGAACUGCAUCCGAAACUGGCAAGCUAGAGUCUUGUAGAGGGGGGUAGAAUUCCAGGUGUAGCGGUGAAAUGCGUAGAGAUCUGGAGGAAUACCGGUGGCGAAGGCGGCCCCCUGGACAAAGACUGACGCUCAGGUGCGAAAGCGUGGGGAGCAAACA